UGUGACACAUCCGCGAAAAAAAAACGAAAAAAAAAAAAAAGCAGCAAGCCAGAGCUAAAGCUAACAACACCGCGUCCGUUAAUCCACCGGACUGUCAGUCUCUCUGUGCUCUGAUGUGGCGUCUGUGUUUUUAUGUGGCAUAGUGGCUGUGGUGAAUGGUGAGGGUAUAAUGCAGAGUUCUCAACAUUCCUUUCCAUGCACUAAAAGCUGCAGAUUUAUGGCGUUUGUGAGUGUGAGUGGAGAUUUCUGCCAGGCCCAGCACCUGGUCAUUGUGGAUAAGUGAAAAUUCAGCGUGCCACAUGAAGAUUACACCACACAUCUACUGUCCUACCUUCUGAGCUUUGGGUUCGAGGCUGUAUUUGCCCAAAGUUCACGCGU